rnacentral:lncRNA from 14 species
GGGGAAAGAUGUACCCCCGGAGACGUAAAGCCAGGAAGGUUUUGUUCACGUCGGUUUGCGCUCUCAGCGUACCCCACAGACUUCCCUUGAAUGCAGAACUCCUGCGACCUGACUUGAGAGACCCUAAUACUGAAUCGAAAGCCUUUGCGUCAUCCUCACCGGUUGAGUAUUUUAUCUCAAGAGAAAAAUGUUGUUUUCCAAAUGAAAAUUCACAGCUGUGGAAUUGAGAAAAGGGUGACUGCAGGACCGUCGUGUCAUGAAAGCCCUUCGUGUCACCGCUGAAUCCAGCUAAAGCAGAUUGAGUAUUUCCCCUCUACCACUCCGUACAGAGACAACUGCUGGUCAGGAAGCUAGACGUGAAGCUGAAACUCAUCCAGCCCGAACUACAGCAAGUCACUGCUCGAAGACACCCUGGGAUUUAGCAUAACUCGUUAGGAGUGCUCCGGGUGAUGGAUAAACACAAUUAAUUAGGUUUAUCUUUGAUAAAUAGAAGCAGCAGCGUAGAUUGUGAUUCUUUUAAAC